rnacentral:lncRNA from 1 species
GAGGAAGGUGGCCCACCAGCAGCAGCGGGUCUGUGCCCCAUAGCGUCCCCAUAGAGUCCCCAUAGCGUCCCCAUAGCAUCCCCAUGGCGUCCCUGUACUGUCCCCACAGUGUCCCCAUGGCAUCCUCAUGGCAUCCCCAUAGCAUCCCCAUGGUGUCCCCGUAGCAUCCCCAUAGUGUCCCUAUGGCGUCCCCAUGCUGUCCCCAUAGCAUCCCCAUAGCAUCCCCAUAGUGUCCCCAUGCUGUCCCCAUAGCAUCCCCAUGGUGUCCCCAAACAUCCCCAUAGCAUCCCCAUAGCGUCCCCAUAGCAUCCCCAUGGUGUCCCCAUAGCAUCCCCAUGGUGUCCCCAUGGCGUCCCCAUGCCAUCCCCAUGCCAUCCCCAUGGCGUCCCCAUAGCAUCCCCAUGGUGUCCCCAUAGUGUCCCUGUAGCAUCCCCAUAGUGUCCCUGUAGCAUCCCCAUAGUGUCCCUGUAGCAUCCCCAUAGUGUCCCCAUAGCAUCCCCAUGGUGUCCCCAUACCAUCCCCAUGG